CCUACGGGAGGCAGCAGUGAGGAAUAUUGGUCAAUGGGCGGGAGCCUGAACCAGCCAAGUCGCGUGAGGGAAGACGGUCCUAUGGAUUGUAAACCUCUUUAGGCGGGGAGCAAUGCCGGGCACGUGUGCCCGGAGGGAGAGUACCCGCAGAAUAAGCAUCGGCUAACUCCGUGCCAGCAGCCGCGGUAAUACGGAGGGUGCGAGCGUUAUCCGGAAUUAUUGGGUUUAAAGGGUGCGGAGGCGGAUUUUUUAGUCAGCGGGAAAAUGUUCGGGCUUAAGCCGGGCCCGGCGGUUGAUAUUGGGGAUCUUGAGUGGGCGAGAGGUAUGCGGAAUGCGUGGUGUAGCGGUGAAAUGCAUAGAUAUCACGCAGAACUCCGAUUGCGAAGGCAGCAUACCGGCGCCCGACUGACGCUGAGGCACGAAAGCGUGGGGAUCGAACAGGAUUAGAUACCCGAGUAGUC
rnacentral:rRNA from 1 species